AACGAACGCUGGCGGCAGGCUUAACACAUGCAAGUCGAACGCAUCCUUCGGGGUGAGUGGCAGACGGGUGUGUAACGCGUGGGAACGUGCCCUUCAGUUCGGGAUAACCCAGGGACACUUGGGCUAAUACCGGAUACGUGCGAGAGCAGAUAGAUUUAUCGCUGAAGGAUCGGCCCGCGUCUGAUUAGCUAGUUGGUGGGGUAAUGGCCCACCAAGGCGACGAUCAGUAGCUGGUCUGAGAGGAUGAGCAGCCACAUUGGGACCGAGACACGGCCCAAACUCCAACGGGAGGCAGAAGUGUGGAAUAUUGGACAAUGUGCGCAAGCCUGAUCCAGCCAUGCCGCGUGAGGCAUGAAGGCCUUAGGGUUGUAAAGCUCUUUCGUCCGGGACGAUAAUGACGGUACCGGAAGAAGAAGCCCCGGCUAACUUCGUGCCAGCCGCCGCCGUAAGAC
rnacentral:rRNA from 1 species